GGUUAAGCGACUAAGCGUACACGGUGGAUGCCCUGGCAGUCAGAGGCGAUGAAGGACGUGCUAAUCUGCGAUAAGCGUCGGUAAGGUGAUAUGAACCGUUAUAACCGGCGAUUUCCGAAUGGGGAAACCCAGUGUGAUUCGUCACACUAUCAUUAACUGAAUCCAUAGGUUAAUGAGGCGAACCGGGGGAACUGAAACAUCUAAGUACCCCGAGGAAAAGAAAUCAACCGAGAUUCCCCCAGUAGCGGCGAGCGAACGGGGAGCAGCCCAGAGCCUGAAUCAGUGUGUGUGUUAGUGGAAGCGUCUGGAAAGGCGCGCGAUACAGGGUGACAGCCCCGUACACAAAAAUGCACAUGCUGUGAGCUCGAUGAGUAGGGCGGGACACGUGGUAUCCUGUCUGAAUAUGGGGGGACCAUCCUCCAAGGCUAAAUACUCCUGACUGACCGAUAGUGAACCAGUACCGUGAGGGAAAGGCGAAAAGAACCCCGGCGAGGGGAGUGAAAAAGAACCUGAAACCGUGUACGUACAAGCAGUGGGAGCACGCUUAGGCGUGUGACUGCGUACCUUUUGUAUAAUGGGUCAGCGACUUAUAUUCUGUAGCAAGGUUAACCGAAUAGGGGAGCCGAAGGGAAACCGAGUCUUAACUGGGCGUUAAGUUGCAGGGUAUAGACCCGAAACCCGGUGAUCUAGCCAUGGGCAGGUUGAAGGUUGGGUAACACUAACUGGAGGACCGAACCGACUAAUGUUGAAAAAUUAGCGGAUGACUUGUGGCUGGGGGUGAAAGGCCAAUCAAACCGGGAGAUAGCUGGUUCUCCCCGAAAGCUAUUUAGGUAGCGCCUCGUGAAUUCAUCUCCGGGGGUAGAGCACUGUUUCGGCAAGGGGGUCAUCCCGACUUACCAACCCGAUGCAAACUACGAAUACCGGAGAAUGUUAUCACGGGAGACACACGGCGGGUGCUAACGUCCGUCGUGAAGAGGGAAACAACCCAGACCGCCAGCUAAGGUCCCAAAGUCAUGGUUAAGUGGGAAACGAUGUGGGAAGGCCCAGACAGCCAGGAUGUUGGCUUAGAAGCAGCCAUCAUUUAAAGAAAGCGUAAUAGCUCACUGGUCGAGUCGGCCUGCGCGGAAGAUGUAACGGGGCUAAACCAUGCACCGAAGCUGCGGCAGCGACGCUUAUGCGUUGUUGGGUAGGGGAGCGUUCUGUAAGCCUGCGAAGGUGUGCUGUGAGGCAUGCUGGAGGUAUCAGAAGUGCGAAUGCUGACAUAAGUAACGAUAAAGCGGGUGAAAAGCCCGCUCGCCGGAAGACCAAGGGUUCCUGUCCAACGUUAAUCGGGGCAGGGUGAGUCGACCCCUAAGGCGAGGCCGAAAGGCGUAGUCGAUGGGAAACAGGUUAAUAUUCCUGUACUUGGUGUUACUGCGAAGGGGGGACGGAGAAGGCUAUGUUGGCCGGGCGACGGUUGUCCCGGUUUAAGCGUGUAGGCUGGUUUUCCAGGCAAAUCCGGAAAAUCAAGGCUGAGGCGUGAUGACGAGGCACUACGGUGCUGAAGCAACAAAUGCCCUGCUUCCAGGAAAAGCCUCUAAGCAUCAGGUAACAUCAAAUCGUACCCCAAACCGACACAGGUGGUCAGGUAGAGAAUACCAAGGCGCUUGAGAGAACUCGGGUGAAGGAACUAGGCAAAAUGGUGCCGUAACUUCGGGAGAAGGCACGCUGAUAUGUAGGUGAAGUCCCUCGCGGAUGGAGCUGAAAUCAGUCGAAGAUACCAGCUGGCUGCAACUGUUUAUUAAAAACACAGCACUGUGCAAACACGAAAGUGGACGUAUACGGUGUGACGCCUGCCCGGUGCCGGAAGGUUAAUUGAUGGGGUUAGCGCAAGCGAAGCUCUUGAUCGAAGCCCCGGUAAACGGCGGCCGUAACUAUAACGGUCCUAAGGUAGCGAAAUUCCUUGUCGGGUAAGUUCCGACCUGCACGAAUGGCGUAAUGAUGGCCAGGCUGUCUCCACCCGAGACUCAGUGAAAUUGAACUCGCUGUGAAGAUGCAGUGUACCCGCGGCAAGACGGAAAGACCCCGUGAACCUUUACUAUAGCUUGACACUGAACAUUGAGCCUUGAUGUGUAGGAUAGGUGGGAGGCUUUGAAGUGUGGACGCCAGUCUGCAUGGAGCCGACCUUGAAAUACCACCCUUUAAUGUUUGAUGUUCUAACGUUGACCCGUGAUCCGGGUUGCGGACAGUGUCUGGUGGGUAGUUUGACUGGGGCGGUCUCCUCCUAAAGAGUAACGGAGGAGCACGAAGGUUGGCUAAUCCUGGUCGGACAUCAGGAGGUUAGUGCAAUGGCAUAAGCCAGCUUGACUGCGAGCGUGACGGCGCGAGCAGGUGCGAAAGCAGGUCAUAGUGAUCCGGUGGUUCUGAAUGGAAGGGCCAUCGCUCAACGGAUAAAAGGUACUCCGGGGAUAACAGGCUGAUACCGCCCAAGAGUUCAUAUCGACGGCGGUGUUUGGCACCUCGAUGUCGGCUCAUCACAUCCUGGGGCUGAAGUAGGUCCCAAGGGUAUGGCUGUUCGCCAUUUAAAGUGGUACGCGAGCUGGGUUUAGAACGUCGUGAGACAGUUCGGUCCCUAUCUGCCGUGGGCGCUGGAGAACUGAGGGGGGCUGCUCCUAGUACGAGAGGACCGGAGUGGACGCAUCACUGGUGUUCGGGUUGUCAUGCCAAUGGCACUGCCCGGUAGCUAAAUGCGGAAGAGAUAAGUGCUGAAAGCAUCUAAGCACGAAACUUGCCCCGAGAUGAGUUCUCCCUGACUCCUUGAGAGUCCUGAAGGAACGUUGAAGACGACGACGUUGAUAGGCCGGGUGUGUAAGCGCAGCGAUGCGUUGAGCUAACCGGUACUAAUGAACCGUGAGGCUUAACCUU
rnacentral:rRNA from 1 species